rnacentral:rRNA from 1 species
ACUGUUAUGGCUAGGGGGUCAUGGCGACUUACCAAACCAUUGCAAACUCCGAAUACCGAUGAGUACAGCCUGGGAGACAGAGCACCGGGGUGCUAACGUCCGGACUCAAGAGGGAAACAACCCAGACCGCCAGCUAAGGUCCCCAAAAUUGGCUAAGUGGGAAACGAAGUGGGAAGGCUAAAACAGUCAGGAUGUUGGCUUAGAAGCAGCCAUCAUUUAAAGAAAGCGUAAUAGCUCACUGAUCGAGUCGUCCUGCGCGGAAGAUGUAACGGGGCUAAGCCAGUUACCGAAGCUGCGGAUUUGCGCGCGAGCGCAAGUGGUAGGAGAGCGUUCUGUACGCCUGCGAAGGUGGAUUGCGAAAUCUGCUGGAGGUAUCAGAAGUGCGAAUGCUGACAUGAGUAGCGUUAAAGGAGGUGAAAAGCCUCCUCGCCGAAAGCGCAAGGUUCCUACGCAACGUUCAUCGGCGUAGGGUUAGUCGGCCCCUAAGGCGAGGCAGAGAUGCGUAGCUGAUGGAAAAC